AAAAGGCUUAAGGUUCGUAAUGAGGCACCGGAUCCCAUCAGAACUCCGAAGUUAAGCGUGCUUGGGCGAGGGUAGUACUAGGAUGGGUGACCUCCUGGGAAUUCCUCGUGUUGCACCCC
rnacentral:rRNA from 1 species